GACACCUGGGCCGGGCUGUAGAUCAGGUUUGCCCACUUGAUUGAGAAAGAUGUUCCAGUGAGGAACCCUGAUCUCUUAGCCCCA
ensembl:miRNA